rnacentral:snRNA from 1 species
AGGCCAAACUUGGCAUGUG